rnacentral:tRNA from 2 species
CAAGGAAUAGUUUAAUAAAGAAUGUCAGCUUUGGGUGUUGAUGGUGGAGUUAUUGCUUCUUCCUUGA